AGCAGCCGCGGUAAUUCCAGCUCCAAUAGCGUAUAUUAAAGUUGUUGCAGUUAAAAAGCUCGUAGUUGAAUUUCGGGGUUAGUAGAUUGGUCGUGCCAUCGGUAUGCACUGGUCUUACUGAUUCCUCCUUCCUGAUGAACCGUAAUGCCAUUAAUUUGGUGUUGCGGGGAAACUGGACUGUUACUUUGAAAAAAUUAGAGUGUUUAAAGCAAGCUAACGCUUGAAUACAUUAGCAUGGAAUAAUGAAAUAGGACGUUCGAUCCUAUUUUGUUGGUUUCUAGGAUUGACGUAAUGAUUAAUAGGGAUAGUUGGGGGCAUUAGUAUUCAAUUGUCAGAGGUGAAAUUCUUGGAUUUAUUGAAGACUAACUAUUGCGAAAGCAUUUGCCAAGGAUGUUUUCAUUAAUCAAGAACGAAAGUUAGGGGAUCGAAGACGAUCAGAUACCGUCGUAGUCUUAACCAUAAACCUAUGCCGACUAGGGAUCGGAUGAUGUUAAUUUUANAAUUGACUCAUUCGGCGU
rnacentral:rRNA from 1 species